CAAUAGCGUAUAUUAAAGUUGUUGCGGUUAAAAAGCUCGUAGUUGGAUUUCUGUUGAGGAAGUCCGGUCCGCACUUUGUGCGUGAUCUGGUUCUGCCUCGGCAUCCUCGCGGGGAACGCGCUGCGCUUGAUUGCGUGGUGUGGUAUUCGCGACUUUUACUUUGAGGAAAUUAGAGUGUUCACGGCAGGCAUUCGCCUUGAAUACGUUAGCAUGGAAUAAUAAUAUAGGACCUUGGUUCUAUUUUGUUGGUUUCUAGAACUAAGGUAAUGAUUAAUAGGGACAAUUGGGGGCAUUCGUAUCAACACGUCAGAGGUGGAAUUCUUGGAUUGUGUUGCGACGAACUACUGCGAAAGCAUUUGCCAAGGAUGUUUUUCAUUGAUCAAGAACGAAAGUAAGGGGAUCGAAGACGAUUAGAU
rnacentral:rRNA from 1 species